rnacentral:misc_RNA from 1 species
CAACCCUCAAGCCCCCGGGUUUGGUGUUGGGGAUCGGGUCCUGCGAGCAAUCGCGGCCCGGCCCCGAAAUCUAGUGGCGGUCUCGCCGCGGCCUCCUUUGCGUAGUAGCUAACACCCCGCAACUGGAACGCGGCGCGGCCAAGCCGUUAAACCCCCCAACUUCUGAA